UACGUAGGGGGCUAGCGUUGUCCGGAAUCAUUGGGCGUAAAGAGCGCGUAGGCGGCCAGAUAAGUCCGGUGUGAAAGUCACAGGCUCAACCUGUGAAUGCCGCUGGAAACUGUCUGGCUAGAGUCCGGAAGGGGCGAGUGGAAUUCCUGGUGUAGCGGUGAAAUGCGCAGAUAUCAGGAGGAACACCAAUGGCGAAGGCAGCUCGCUGGGACGGUACUGACGCUGAGACGCGAAAGCGUGGGGAGCAAACAGG
rnacentral:rRNA from 1 species